GCGUGCGGGGCUUUGAGAUGCACCAACACAGCAAAAUUGUUGUGAGAAGCUGAUUUUGAAACUGCAGAAAUCUCCGGCCAUGUUUUCACUUCUAUUGCAUCCACGGAAUGAUGAUUAGCCACAUCAGUUGAUGAGCUUCUCUGGCUGCCGAUGGGUUGGUGAUCAAUUACUUCAUCAUCAUCAAAGACACCUGGCUCCGCGACUUGAAAAAGUGUAGAGAUGUUGCGAUUGGUAUCCAAUCGCCACAUCAGUUGAUGAGCUUCUCUGGCUGUCAAUGGGUUGGUGAUCAACUACUUCAUCAUCAUCAAAGACACCUGGUUCCACAACUUGAAAAAGUGUAGAAAUGUUGCGAUUGGUAUCCAAUCGAGCAGGUGGGAGCCG
rnacentral:lncRNA from 1 species